rnacentral:rRNA from 1 species
UCCGUAGGGUGCGAGCGUUAAUCGGAAUUACUGGGCGUAAAGCGUGCGCAGGCGGUUUUGUAAGCCAGAUGUGAAAUCCCCGGGCUUAACCUGGGAAUGGCAUUUGGGACUGCAAGGCUGGAGUGUGGCAGAGGAGACUGGAAUUCCUGGUGUAGCAGUGAAAUGCGUAGAUAUCAGGAGGAAUACCGAUGGCGAAGGCAGGUCUCUGGGCUGACACUGACGCUCAUGCACGAAAGCGUGGGGAGCAAACAGG